rnacentral:lncRNA from 1 species
ACUGGCCUAUUAAUUCAAAACUAGUUUCCUUACUAUGCAAGGAGCUUUACUAGGCAGUAAAAUGAAUACAAAGUUAAAUUUAGUAUGGGAGAAGAAAUGUUUGUAAAUAUCUGUAAUACAAAGAAUCAUGUUAAAAAAAAUAGCAUAGAAGAAAAACAGGUAACAUGGAGAUUUAGACCUUGAAAGGUUUGGGCAACAUUCUAACAGUCCAAGUUGGGUAAAGAAGUUUAAGGGGAAGAAAUAGUAUGAACAAAUACAUAGAGGCAGGAAAACUUGUAGCGUGUUUGAAGAAUGGUACAAGUACAGUUUCUCCGAAGUGUAGGGUUCUGAAAGUAGAUGGUGUUUGGAAGAUAACACUGCAAAGUGCAGGCAUGCCACAGAGAAAUGUCUUAGAUGUAGUAGAAAGAACAGACCCAUAUAAGAAGACUUGCAAUCAGGUUUUUCCCUUAUUUCUGGGUGAUGAUUUCUGCAACUGGAAAAUAGUAAUAAAUGUGCCCACCUCACAGUGACCUAUGAUGGUGUCUGUGUUUUCUAAACUGUAAAACACCAUGCAAAUACAAGAUACAGAUGUCCUCCUCCUCGUGGCACCAAAAUUCUGUGUGGCUUCCUUUUUCUCCUCCUCUCUCCCAAGUUUUUCAAAUGUGGCUUUUCCCACUGAGUUUACUGCUCCCUGCCCAUUUCCUGCCUUUGCUUAUUACACGGAGAACUGGCUCUCUGGGCAGUGCUCCCUAUGCCAGUUGGCAGACAAAGUCCUUAGAAGGCAGAUGCUCCAAUUCUGACAUCAUCACCAAAAUCUCUUCUAGUUUUCUGAGAAGAGCCCUCUCCUACCCCCAUCUUGCAAGGGAACUGGUACCUUUCUUUCCGUGGCUCUCUGUCCCUCCCACCUCAUUUUCCCUCUGAAGGAGGUAGUUCAUUCCCCACUGAGUUUGCCAGCAGGAACACCCUCUCAUUUCCUCCCUGUCUGCCUGCUUCUCCUUCUCCCCUUUCCUCCUCAUGUGAUCCAUGAAAGUUUUACAAAGGACUUUGACUCAGGCCAAGAGAAAACAAAAGAUUAGAAAAGAAGAGUCUAGUGAAUGCAUGGUUUGAUUUGAAAUACAUUUGCCACGUUGCCAGGAACAUUUUGACUACACAGCUUCUAGUUCCUUUGUGAAUUCUCAGAUAGCCCAGUCUGACUCCUUUUCUUUUUCUUUCCUGGGCCAAGGGAAGUGUGUCAUUUAUCAAUCAAACUGGGUAGUAGCAGUUGAAGAAGAGCUGUAACUGUCAUCCUAGCAUAGUUUAUAACAGCAGAAGAUUCAAAACAAGCUAAAUAUCAAUAUGGGGAUGGUUAUGAAAAUCACAAGGAAAUACUAUACAGCCAUUUUAAAAGAAUGUUUCAAAUGAAUAAUUAUUUACAAAAAGAUGUUCACAUAUUUUAUUUCAUAAAAGGGAC